UACGUAGGGUGCGAGCGUUAAUCGGAAUUACUGGGCGUAAAGUGUGCGCAGGCGGCAGAGCAAGUCGAGUGUGAAAGCCCCGGGCUUAACUUGGGAAUUGCGCUCGAAACUACUUUGCUGGAGUGUGGCAGAGGCAGAUGGAAUUCCCGGUGUAGCGGUGGAAUGCGUAGAGAUCGGGAAGAACAUCGGUGGCGAAGGCGGUCUGCUGGGCCGUUGCUGACGCUGAGGCGCGACAGCGUGGGGAGCAAACAGG
rnacentral:rRNA from 1 species